rnacentral:rRNA from 1 species
CCUACGGGUGGCAGCAGUGAGGAAUAUUGGUCAAUGGACGAGAGUCUGAACCAGCCAAGUAGCGUGAAGGAUGACUGCCCUAUGGGUUGUCAACUUCUUUUAUAAAAGAAUAAAACGAGGCACGUGUGCCUUUUUGCAUGUACUUUAUGAAUAAGGAUCGGCUAACUCCGUGCCAGCAGCCGCGGUAAUACGGAGGAUCCGAGCGUUAUCCGGGUUUAUUGGGUUUAAAGGGAGCGUAGAUGGGUUGGUAAGUUAGUUGUGAAAGGUCGGGGCUCAACCGUAAAAUUGCAAAUGAUAAGGGGAGGAGUGAGAAAAGGUGAGGGAGGGGGAAGUCGUGGUGUAGCGGUGAAAUGCUUAGAGAUCACGAAGAACCCCGAUUGGGAAGGCAGCUUACUAAACUG